CUAAAAAUUUUAAGUCUGUUCGACUUUUAAAAUUUUACAUGAUCUGAGUUUAAACCGGUGUGAGCCAGGUUGGUUUCUAUCUUUAAAAAAUUUAUAAUAAUUUAGUACGAAAGGAUUAAUUAUUUAAUUUAUAAUUUAAUAUUAGAAGAUGAUU
rnacentral:rRNA from 1 species